rnacentral:rRNA from 1 species
CAGCCGCCGCGGUAAUACGUAGGUCCCGAGCGUUGUCCGGAAUUAUUGGGCGUAAAGCGCGCGCAGGCGGAUAGGUCAGUCUGUCUUAAAAGUUCGGGGCUUAACCCCGUGAUGAGAUGGAAACUGCCAAUCUAGAGUAUCGGAGAGGAAAGUGGAAUUCCUAGUGUAGCGGUGAAAUGCGUAGAUAUUAGGAAGAACACCAGUGGCGAAGGCGACUUUCUGGACGAAAACUGACGCUGAGGCGCGAAAGCCAGGGGAGCGAACGGGAUUAGAUACCCCGGUAGUCCCUGUCUCUUAUACA